rnacentral:rRNA from 1 species
CUACGGAGGGUGCAAGCGUUACUCGGAAUCACUGGGCGUAAAGCGCGCGCAGGCGGCUAUUUAAGUUGGAUGUGAAAGCCUACGGCUCAACCGUAGAACUGCAUCCAAAACUAUUUAGCUAGAGUGUGGGAGAGGAAGAUGGAAUUAGUUGUGUAGGGGUAAAAUCCGUAGAGAUAACUAGGAAUACCAAAAGCGAAGGCAAUCUUCUGGAACACUACUGACGCUGAGGCGCGAAAGCGUGGGGAGCAAACGGGAUUAGAAACCCGUGUAGUCC